rnacentral:lncRNA from 1 species
ACUAAUGCAUGUAAAUUAUAAAAUGUGCACGGAUCCUAUGAACAUGAUUUCUAAUGCAAGGGGUCUAUAAACAGGAUUUCAAGUAUGCGAGUAAAACACAUAACAAAAUAAUUAGAAAUUCCUAUAGGCAGGAUCCCUAAACAAGUAGUAGCAUUCACAUGAUUCAAUCAACAUAAUAAAUAUAUAGGCAGGAUUUCUACCCAAGUUUAAAGACAUAAGAAAAAACCCCCUGAUUUUACUAACAAGCCCCAAAUCUAUUUAUUACAGAGAAUAUUACAACCCAAAAUGAAUAAAUUACAUAACAAUAUCUAUUACACCAUAGGGAGCCUUAGCAGGCCCAAUAUAAACUUGGGAACCAGGCCUUCAAAUAAAGCAAUUUUGAAGCAUAAAGGAGGAUCCAUCCAUGGCACAUAGGAUUAGGUUCCUAGUGUGUCAAAUUCCCAAGGGCCUCAGGGACCCCAGGCAAUGCUCACACUAGGACCACACUUAAAGAAACAAUUCAUAAAAGAUUGGAAGACCAGCCGCAAUGUGUCAGAGUUCAAAGGAGUCUCAAGGACCCUAGGCAGUGCUCACGCUAGGGAUGGUAGGAACCUAAAUAUCUAAGAGUAGAAGUUUGAAAGCCAGUACAUAGAGGGUAAGAGGGGAAAUGUUUAGACACCGGUACAUACAGAAUAGCACCAGAACUGCACCAAGGAACAAACAGAAUUCAUGUUCAGCAUAUAGUUCGAACAAGUUUGCAUUUUGAUUAGGCUAGAUACUAAUAUUAAAAAACCAUGGCUUAAGUACAAAAACAAUUAGUAAACAAACAUGACACAUGAAUUAGCCACACAUUGAUCACAUGUUUCUAGCAAAGUUCAGAACAGGAACUAAAUUAGGAAGAGUUUCAUAUUAUUGAAGAUAGCUUAGCUUAAUAGCAUCACUAAGUGGAAUCGGGCAGUCACAUAGCAAACAGAAUCAUGUUGCAAUUUGAAAUAAAAUAAUUGAAUAAAGCAUAUAGAAUAGAAUGGAAUACUAGGAGUUAAGGCAUACCAGUCGAGAAGAAAGCAAAUAGGAAUGCAACAGUAGCCAAAUUUUAGAGAGUUAGGCCUUGGCUUUUAGCCGGCCAAAUAGUGCAGAAACCAGAACAAUAGAACAAAGAGAGAACUUAAGUUUUUUAGAAACGGAAAGUUUUAAAGUUGUGAAGUUGUUUAGUGAAGAAUUUAUUUCUCAAUGGGUUCUAAAGCGUAUCCGUGUUUAAAAUCAGGGCAAGGGAAGGGUUUUUAUAGCAUACAAUAGAGUAAAAUAAAUAUGGUAUGAAAAUUAAUUACACACAAAUAAGGUCAACAUCAAUCAAUUAAGACGCUAGAAUCAAAUAAGUACCACUUAAUUUAAGGAAAAUCCCACAUGAAAUCAAUCAGUAGCUAAGAAUGAGGUUAAACAAAGUAAUAACUAAUUUCGAAAUCAACUAGGAGUCGGUAACACAAAAUCAGCCAGUAGUACAGGUAUAAAAAUAAGGUAAGAACAAGUAAGAACUUAAUAAGGAAAUACAGGUACUAAAUUCAAACCUAAAUUUAGGCAAGUAAAUCAAUUAAUACUUUAAUUGACAGAGCCAAGGUAAAUGGGCAAGAACAGUAGAAUAAAUGGCCAAAUAAUCGAAACCCUAGGAACCAAAGACAAAUAUAUGUAGCCUAAUUAAAUUAAUUAAAAACAAUCAUUUGAAUAAGUAAAUAAAAAUUAGAGAUGAAAAUAAUUAAAUGUUUAAAACAUUUUAUGUAGAAAUGCAAUAGAACCAAAACCCUAGCUUUUUAGGGUAAAUGAAAUCGGUCAACAAUAAUAGUAAAAGCAAAAUAUUUUAAGGGAAAAAUUCCAAACAAACACAAAAUCGCUCUAGAUCUAAAGAGAUCUAAACGGAUUCAAACAGAAAUAGCUAGAUUCAUGAAAAUAGACAAAAGCAAAUUAAAUUUGGUUUGAACCAGAGAUUUGGAACCAUAAAAAUACCAAAACAUUCGUGCUUACAGAUUUUGGAGUGAACAUAGAGGGAAUAGUCAAGAAAAGAGAAACUUUGAACUAGAUUUGGUUUGAGUCCUUGAGAUGCAUAUCAAGCAACAUGAAAAUCAUACAACAAGUAGAGAGAUGAGGUUGGAUAAGGCAUGAAACCGAAGGAAAACCUCAUGAAUCAAGGGGGAUUUGUAACGGAGGUCUAGGGUUAGAGGGGGUGUGAGAUAGAGAAGAGCUGAGAGAAGGGAUCUAGAGACGACAGGUUGGGGGGAAAUGAGGGUAGAGUUUAGUAUUAGUAUUAUUAAAAAAGAAAGGUCGAUCUUGGACCUUUGAUCUUCUGAGAUGAACGACCAGUAUUAAUUUUAGGCUAGGGU